GACGAACGCUGGCGGCGUGCCUAAUACAUGCAAGUAGAACGCACAGUUUAUACCGUAGCUUGCUACACCAUAGACUGUGAGUUGCGAACGGGUGAGUAACGCGUAGGUAACCUGCCUGGUAGCGGGGGAUAACUAUUGGAAACGAUAGCUAAUACCGCAUAAUAUUGAUUAUUGCAUGAUAAUUGAUUGAAAGAUGCUAUUGCAUCACUACCAGAUGGACCUGCGUUGUAUUAGCUAGUAGGUGAGGUAACGGCUCACCUGGGCGACGAUACAUAGCCGACCUGAGAGGGUGAUCGGCCACACUGGGAAUGAGACACGGCCCAGACUCCUACGGGAGGCAGCAGUAGGGAAUCUUCGGCAAUGGACGAAAGUCUGACCGAGCAACGCCGCGUGAGUGAAGAAGGUUGUCGGAUCGUAAAGCUCUGUUGUAAGAGAAGAACGGGUGUGAGAGUGGAAAGUUCACACUGUGACGGUAUCUUACCAGAAAGGGACGGCUAACUACGUG
rnacentral:rRNA from 1 species